GGUUCAAAUAGUAAGGAAAUCCUUUCUUUUUUGACAUUUUAGUCAUUCAAUCAAGCAACAUCUACAAGACUGAGUUGAAAAUUCAGUUAGGAUUCAUGAAUUAAGCCACCUCUUUAAGCAUAUGGAAAAAUUAACAUAUAUUGAACAACUUGAACAAGUCGUUGAGCAAAUUUUUUAAUUGAACAAGUUGAACCUGCUCAGGAAAGGGACAAUGGGCUGUUGGAACCACUCC
rnacentral:lncRNA from 1 species